GGCGAAUGGGAUACGUUAAGCCAAAAUUAUAUUCAGAAACUAUAUAAAUCGAUACCAAAUCGUACAAUAGAAGUAAUAGAAAAUAAAGGGGGAUGUACCCAUUAUUAAACAAGUAUAUAUGUUUGAUAAACGAAAAACUUUGCACGCAUCAUUGAGAAAUUAAAGAUAACAAACAUGGGUUAUCUUUUUGACGAGGAGUGUA
rnacentral:misc_RNA from 1 species